CGCCAAUCACUGGAGCUAUAAGGAAUUUUCGUCGCAUUUUGAGGAGGUUACAAACUUGCGCUACUGGAUUGUGAAACUGGCCCUUUAACAUUGCUGGUGGACGCUACAUAAUAAGAGAGAUUUCCUGAUGUAGUUUCCUCAAAUUUCCUCCUCUUUUUAUAUCAACGCCAAUCACUGGAGCUAUAAGGAAUUUUCGUCGCAUUUUGGGGAACUUACAAACUUGCUCUACUGGAUUGUGAAACUGGCCCUUUAACAUUGCAGGUGGACUUGAUAGCGUUAUAAGAGAAGAAAUAUAUUACCUUUAUGAUUAAUGUUAGACUUGUUUCGUAACUGUUGGACUUGAGAUCAUUUGAAAAAAAAAUAUAGAUGGACUUAACCGUUACUGAUGGACUGUAUAAUUAGUGUUGGACUUUGAGAUUAUUGAAAAAGGGAAGAAAUUUAUACGGGAAAGGUUGGAACACACA